rfam:Aedes albopictus isolate Foshan contig12856, whole genome shotgun sequence.
UGCCCAGCAACUCCUAUCCCUACCUCCACGCGGUACCGGCCGGUAACUAUGAGCAACCUUAGGGAAGAUCGGGUAACCAACCCCGGUGGGAACUUUGGUCGUAGGCUGACAGGGAAGG